AAAGAGAAUGUGGUUAUAAAAUUAAUGAAUGACGGAUUGUAAGAAGGUUCUAUACAAAUUUUAUAACGGCAAUGUCUUCAGCUGUCAACAGCUAACCCAAUCUUCAAAUUUUUAGAUUAAUUGGGUACUUGCUUAUUAAUACUACCUUACUAUUUAUCCUUAGCUCUUUAUCUACCGUAUCAUUUGAUCCUCAACAUAAUCGCGUUAGUCAAUCUCGUCAAUAUUUUUUUUACCUGGACGAUCUAAAAUCACGUGCGUCUGCUGCUGGACGUAGGCUUCGACCAAGCUUGGCCACAACAACCGGUCUUGCAGGCUGCACACGACCGUUGGCUUUUGUAAAUUACGACAUCUCAGCGGUUGCUGUAAAUUACGCAUCCUCCAUCCUAGACCCAGUAGGGCACUUGCGGUCCACUUAUAUUUUGUCCAUGCUCUGCGGAAUACCCCGAAAAGUGAGGUUAGAAAGAGUGGCGUUUCGGCCCCUGCAAGUUUCUUUAACAUCGUGAUAACGCGUAAAGCAAGAAUACGUGUCCUCAGCAUCCGUCCCUAAUGCAGGGACUGACACUCUCGAGGGAUCGCGGGGCAACAGCUGUCAGCUUCCUUGGCGUUACACUGCACGUUCACGAAAUAAUAACAUGAAUUUACUAAAACGACACGUAUUCAUUCUUAAUUUAAUUAAUAAAUAUUAUUUC